GUGCGUGAGAGCAACUGUUCACGCAGUGACGGUAUCUAACCAGAAAGUCACGGCUAACUACGUGCCAGCAGCCGCGGUAAUACGUAGGUGGCAAGCGUUAUCCGGAUUUAUUGGGCGUAAAGCGAGCGCAGGCGGUUUGAUAAGUCUGAUGUGAAAGCCUUUGGCUUAACCAAAGAAGUGCAUCGGAAACUGUCAGACUUGAGUGCAGAAGAGGACAGUGGAACUCCAUGUGUAGCGGUGGAAUGCGUAGAUAUAUGGAAGAACACCAGUGGCGAAGGCGGCUGUCUGGUCUGCAACUGACGCUGAGGCUCGAAAGCAUGGGUAGCGAACAGGAUUAGAUACCCUGGUAGUCCAUGCCGUAAACGAUGAGUGCUAGGUGUUGGAGGGUUUCCGCCCUUCAGUGCCGCAGCUAACGCAUUAAGCACUCCGCCUGGGGAGUACGACCGCAAGGUUGAAACUCAAAGGAAUUGACGGGGGCCCGCACAAGCGGUGGAGCAUGUGGUUUAAUUCGAAGCUACGCGAAGAACCUUACCAGGUCUUGACAUCUUGCGCCAACCCUAGAGAUAGGGCGUUUCCUUCGGGAACGCAAUGACAGGUGGUGCAUGGUCGUCGUCAGCUCGUGUCGUGAGAUGUUGGGUUAAGUCCCGCAACGAGCGCAACCCUUGUUACUAGUUGCCAGCAUUCAGUUGGGCACUCUAGUGAGACUGCCGGUGACAAACCGGAGGAAGGUGGGGACGACGUCAGAUCAUCAUGCCCCUUAUGACCUGGGCUACACACGUGCUACAAUGGACGGUACAACGAGUCGCGAACUCGCGAGGGCAAGCUAAUCUCUUAAAACCGUUCUCAGUUCGGACUGCAGGCUGCAACUCGCCUGCACGAAGUCGGAAUCGCUAGUAAUCGCGGAUCAGCAUGCCGCGGUGAAUACGUUCCCGGGCCUUGUACACACCGCCCGUCACACCAUGAGAGUUUGCAACACCCAAAGUCGGUGGGGUAACC
rnacentral:rRNA from 2 species